GUGCGACCAGCUCUGCUGGCUCUUGGACCAGUAUGAAGAGGUCCAAGAUGGUUUUCACGUGACCAAGCGUCUCAGGCAUUUCUUGGAAGCUGUGGAGAAAACUGAGCCCUUUAUCCCCAGGGAAAGAGUUUUUAUCAUCUGCAUUGUUGUGCACAACCAGCUCUCGGAUGUGACCAAGAAGCACCGCAUUGGCCAUAAAACAGAGCUGUGCCACUGCAUGCUGC